rnacentral:rRNA from 1 species
AACGAACGCUGGCGGCAUGCCUAACACAUGCAAGUCGAACGAGAACAUCGGGACUAGUGGCGCACGGCUGCGUAACGCGGGGGAACCUGCCCUUAGGUUCGGAAUAACUUCCCGAAAGGGGUGCUAAUACCGAAUAGUGUCUUCGGACCAAAGAUUGAUCGAGCUUGAAUGGGCCGGAGUUGGAUUAGAUUGUUGGUAGGGUAAAAGCCUACGAGGGCGACAAGUCGCAGCUGGUCAGAGAGAAUGAUCAGCCACACUGGCACUGGGAAACGGCCGAGACUCUUACGGGAUGGGGGAGAGGGGAAUAGUGGAAAGUGGGGUGAAGCAUGAACCAGCUAGGCCGGUAGAGUGCUGAAGGCCUGAGGGUUGUAAAGCUCUUUUAUCCGUGAUGAUAUUGACGGUACCGGGAGAAUAAGCGCCGGCUAACUCCGUG